AUGUAUUCUACACCCCCUCCAAAAAAGAUAGCUUUUGUUUUUAUUAAUUUAUUUUUUCUCUUUAUUAACUUAUUUAUUAUGUGUUUUCUUCUAUUUCCUUUGGGCUUGUUUUUUUUAUUUUUUAAAAUUUGUUUAUGUUAAAAUAUAAUUUGUUUUAAAUCAAAUCUUUUGACUAUAAUAAGAGCAGCCAAAUCAUAAAUCUACUCAGUUUCCUUUUCCAAAUACUUUGUCUAUUACUAAAACAAGAGCAUAUCAUUACGAUAAAUUACAAUAGAUGAUACAGUAAAAUUAUGCCAUUAAUACUGGUCGAAAAUUGUUUCUUUUUAAAAUACUAUUAAUAUACUUAUAUAAAUACUAACCCUUUUGAUAGAUAAAUUAAAUACACAUUAUAAAACCUCAGUCCACUAUUUCAAACUAAAUAACUUAGUUCCUUAGUGUUUCUUUUAAAAUCUGCUUAUUACAACAUUAGCAGCCUUUUUAAUUUGGUUUACCUCCUACGUAACAGUUAAUCAAUGUGUAAAACCUAGGUUAAAAUAAACAACCCAGAGCACAUUUAUGCA
rnacentral:lncRNA from 1 species